rnacentral:rRNA from 1 species
UACGUAGGGGGCAAGCGUUGUCCGGAUUUAUUGGGCGUAAAGAGCGUGUAGGCGGCUAUACAGGUCCGUUGUGAAAACUCGAGGCUCAACCUCGAGACGUCGAUGGAAACCGUAUGGCUAGAGUCCGGAAGAGGAGAGUGGAAUUCCUGGUGUAGCGGUGAAAUGCGCAGAUAUCAGGAGGAACACCGAUGGCGAAGGCAGGUCUCUGGGCAGUAACUGACGCUGAGGAGCGAAAGCGUGGGGAGCGAACAGG